rnacentral:rRNA from 1 species
CCUACGGGAGGCAGCAGUGAGGAAUAUUGGUCAAUGGACGAGAGUCUGAACCAGCCAAGUAGCGUGAAGGAUGACUGCCCUAUGGGUUGUAAACUUCUUUUAUAUGGGAAUAAAAUGUUCCACGUGUGGGAUUUUGUAUGUACCAUAUGAAUAAGGAUCGGCUAACUCCGUGCCAGCAGCCGCAGUAAUACGGAGGAUCCGAGCGUUAUCCGGAUUUAUUGGGUUUAAAGGGAGCGUAGGUGGAUUGUUAAGUCAGUGGUGAAAGUUUGCGGCUCAACCGUAAAAUUGCAGUUGAAACUGGCAGUCUGGAGUACAGUAGAGGUGGGCGGAAUUCGUGGUGUAGCGGUGAAAUGCUUAGAUAUCACGAAGAACUCCGAUUGCGAAGGCAGCUCACUGGACUGCAACUGACACUGAGGCUCGAAAGUGUGGGUAUCAAACAGGAUUAGAUACCCGUGUAGUC